UUAAACCAAUGAUUGUUUCUAGGGAGACCUAUAUAGAAUUGCGGCUGACCUGCCCUCGAAAAGGGACUUCAAAACCGAUUCUGCGGUCACCCACCUGCUAGCGCAGGUUUGA
rnacentral:sRNA from 1 species